CUUGUUUAUUGCAGGUGCUCAGCUUAGUAUCUUGUGUUUAUUAAGGAUGCUCAGCUUAGUAUAUCUUGUUUAUUAUAGGUGCACAGUUUAGUAUAUCUUGACUAUUGCGAGUACACAGCUUAGUACAUCUUGUUUAUUGUGGGUGCUCAGCUUAGUGUAUCUUGUUUAUUGCGGGUGCACAGCAUAGUAUACCUUAUUUAUUG